rnacentral:rRNA from 1 species
UUGAUCCUGCCGGACCUGACUGCUAUCGGAUUGAUACUAAGCCAUGCGAGUCAUUGCAGUAAUGCAAGGCAGACGGCUCAGUAACGCGUAGUCAACCUACCCUAUGGACGGGAAUAACCUCGGGAAACUGAGUAUAAUGCCCGAUAGAACACUAUUCCUGGAAUGGUUUGUGUUCCAAAUGAUUUAUCGCCGUAGGAUGGGACUGCGGCCUAUCAGUUUGUUGGUGAGGUAAUGGCCCACCAAGACUAUUACAGGUACGGGCUCUGAGAGGAGUAGCCCGGAGAUGGGUACUGAGACACGGACCCAGGCCCUAUGGGGCGCAGCAGGCGAGAAAACUUUGCAAUGUGCGAAAGCACGACAAGGUUAAUCCGAGUGGUUUGUGCUAAACGAACCUUUUGACAGUCCUAGAAACACUGUUGAAUAAGGGGUGGGCAAGUUCUGGUGUCAGCCGCCGCGGUAAAACCAGCACCUCAAGUGGUCAGGAUGAUUAUUGGGCCUAAAGCAUCCGUAGCCGGCUCUGUAAGUUUUCGGUUAAAUCUGUACGCUCAACGUACAGGCUGCCGGGAAUACUGCAGAGCUAGGGAGUGGGAGAGGUAGACGGUACUCGGUAGGAAGGGGUAAAAUCCUUUGAUCUAUUGAUGACCACCUGUGGCGAAGGCGGUCUACCAGAACACGUCCGACGGUGAGGGAUGAAAGCUGGGGGAGCAAACCGGAUUAGAUACCCGGGUAGUCCCAGCUGUAAACUAUGCAAACUCAGUGAUGCAUUGGCUUGUGGCCAAUGCAGUGCUGCAGGGAAGCCGUUAAGUUUGCCGCCUGGGAAGUACGUACGCAAGUAUGAAACUUAAAGGAAUUGGCGGGGGAGCACCACAAGGGGUGAAGCCUGCGGUUC